rnacentral:rRNA from 1 species
UACGGAGGGUGCAAGCGUUUAAUCGGAAUUACUGGGCGUAAAGCGCACGCAGGUGGCUGAGUCAGUCGAUUGUGAAAGCCCUGGGCUUAACCUGGGAAUUGCAGUCGAUACUACUCAGCUAGAGUAUGGGAGAGGGCAGUGGAAUUCCCGGUGUAGCGGUGAAAUGCGUAGAUAUCGGGAGGAACAUCAGUGGCGAAGGCGGCUGUCUGGCCCAAUACUGACACUCAGGUGCGACAGCGUGGGGAGCAAACAGG